UAAAAAAAACUCUGUACCCUCCAUAUCACUUAGCUUUGAAAAGCCAUCACCCAGACAUUGUUGCUGAAUUUGAAAAGACAGAGAGUUAUAUGAAGAAAACUUGUUGAAAGUCCUGAAAAACAAAAAGGAAGGCUUAAAUGAUGGAAAGGUGCAUCAAGGCCUUGAACAUGAGGAUUCAAUACUAUAAAGAUGUGAUUUCUCCUGAAGAUACUGCAAUGUUUUUUCUAUCAAUUACUUUCAUUUUAUCAGUUACUCUCAUUAUGCUCAUAUCAAUUUUCCAGGAGAACAUUUCACACUUUCCCCUGUCUCUUCAGAACUCUCCCCACCUCCUUGAUUUCUUACUGAUAAUAUAGAAGCAAUCAGGAGAUAACUCCACACUCUCAGUCCUCCCUCUGCCGCCAUUUGCCUACCUUCCCAAAUCUGUCCCAUAUAAUCUCUCCCGUUAGUAUGGAUCAGUCUGGGCUCUUAUUUACACCCAGUCCCUCCAUCUGCGAACUAGAUUCCAUCUCCUCUCAACCACUCAAGGAGACUGUGAUCCUGCCAUUAUUCCUCUCUUCUCUGAAUUGUCCACUUUUCCCUUUCUACUGGAUGAUUCCUGUUAGUUUACAGAUAGAUUAUAAUAACUGCUGUCAUUUACAAAGAUAUCCCUCCUUGACCCAAUAUCCUAUUGCAGCCCCUACUCCAUUUCUCUGCUUUCAUUUACAGCAAUAACUCCUCGAAAUUAUAGUUCAUUGUCUUUAUUUUCUCAUCUUCUAUUGUCUUUAACCCCCUCCCAUCUGAUUUGCAUCCCCACCAUAGCAAACCAUUCUUGUUAUGCCUCCCAUAAUCUCUUUUUUUGUUGUUUUUUAAUUAUUUAUUUAUUUUUGGCUGCAUUGGGUCUUCGUUGCUGCACACGGGCUUUCUCUAGUUGCGGCGAGCGGGGGCUACUCUUCAUUGCGGUGCACGGGUUUCUUAUUGCGGUGGCUUCUCUUGUUGCGGAGCACAGGCUCUAGGCGCACGGACUUCAGUAGUUGUAGCACACGGGCUCAGUAGUUGUGGUGCACGAGCUUAGUUGCUCCGCGGCGUAUGGGAUCUUCCCAGACCAGGGCUUGAACACGUGUCCCCUGCAUUGACAGGCAGAUUCUUAACCACUGUGCCACCAGGGAAGUCUGGCUCCCAUAAUCUCUUAAUCUUGACAUUGAAAAGUGUCACAGACAAUUCAUGGUCUUCAUCUUAUUCCUUUUCCCAGCAGCAUUUGAAACAGCUAAUCUCUCUCCCACUUCCUGACAUUCUCUUCAGUUGUUCCCAGGGCACCACACUCUCCUCGUUUUUCUCCUACCUUGCUGGCUGCCCUUUCUCAGUUUCCUUUGCUUAAUUCUCCUCCUCCUUUUCCUCCCAACCCUUAAUCUUAGAAUACCCCAGGGUACAGUCCUUUUUCCUUUCUACACUGACAUUCCAGUUGGUUUCCUCCCAUGUAAUGACUUUAAUCGUCUCUAUUUUAGUGCACCUCAAAUUAACUCUUUAGUCUUGGCAGUUCCCUAGAACUCUACACUCAUACAUCCAGACAUUAACCUCACUUCUCCGAUUGAUGGUUUUUUAAAAAAAUAUUUAUUUAGUCUUAGUUGCGGCUCGUGGGCUCCUUAGUUGCGGCAGGCGGGCUCCUUAGUUGCAGCAGGCAGGCUUCUUAGUUGCGGCUCGUGGGCUCCUUAGUUGCAGCACAUGGACUCCUUAGUUGUGGCAUGCGAACUCUUAGUUGCGGCAUGCAUGUGGGAUCUAGUUCCCUGACCAGGGAUUGAACCUGGGCCCCCUGCAUUGGGGAGUGUGGAGUCUUAACCACUGCACCACCAGGGAAGUCCCUCUGAUUGAUGUUUAAUACAUAUCUCAAGCUUAUCAGGUCUAAAAUUAAACUCUUGACUUCCACCACUCUCAAACUUGCUCUUCCCAUAGUAUUCGUUGUCUUAUGACACCAGCAUUCACCCAGUCACUCAGGCCAGAAACUUUGGAGUCAUUUUGAUGCCUCUUUUUCAGACACAUUCUACAUCAAACCUAUCAGCAAAUAAGUUCUACUUUAAAAUAUAUAUACUGAAUCUGAUCACUUUUUUCCCCCAAUAUAAUUACUAACCUAGUCCUAGCUACCAACAUCUUUGCCUGGAUUGCUGGCUGAGCAUCCUAACUGGACUCUCUGUUUCUACCCUCAUCUCUCUCUACCACACAGAAACCAGAAUAAUCCUAUUGAAUCACCAGUCACUCUCCUGUCCCAAACUGCCCAGUGACUAUUCAUCACACUUUAAAAUAAAAUCCUGUGUCCCUACCAUGGGCUUCAAGGCCCAAUGAGAUCUCUGCCCCAGUCUGCUUCUCCAACUCAUCUCCUACUACUGUCCCCUUUGCUCUCACCACUUCAGCCAUUCUAGCUUUCUUAUUCCUCAAAUAUGCCAACUGUGUUCCUACCUCAGUGACUUUGUACUUGCUAUUCUCUCUGCCUGGAACUACCACCCCCUAAAAUGUAUGUGUGACUUGCCCCUCACUUCAUUCUGAGGUAGGGUUACCAGAUACAAUAGAUGCUCAGUUACAUUUGAAUUUCAGAUAAACAAUAAUUACUUAGUAUGUAUGUUUUGAAUAUUUGUUAUCUGAAGUUCAAAUCUCACUGGGUGUCUUGUAUUUUUAUUUGUUAAAUCUGCCUUUUCUGGAGCUUUUAUUGUUUUAGUUCAUGGAAGGGGCUGCCCAUUCCUGGCACCUCCCUCAGUCUCAGCUUUCCCACUGGCACAAGCGUGUGCCUCAGGUGUUAAAACACAAUCCCUAAGGCAUAUAUUUGGUUCAGUUACUUUGUGGAUCACAGGGCUUCAAUUCUCAUUGUUGUAGCCUCUUUAUUUAGGGCACCUGAAUAUUCUCUCUGAGCAGGACCUUAUGGGGCUUUCCCCCAUAAGGGGGGACAGACAGCACCCCCCCAUUAUUCCAGCUGCCUCUUGUUUGUAGAAAAACUUUAGCCUCCUACACCUUCCCCAAGUUCCAAAAAAUAAAUUUAAUCAGAGAAGUGAGAAAAUGCAGAAACAAAAGAAAACAGUCAAGCAAGACAAAAUAAUAAUAGUUUAGCCAUUAAACCAAGUCAAGGACCUUUAGUUCUUCCUCAAGGUCUAUAGAUAAUAUUCUGAGCCAAAUCCUUUGAGUUGUUUUGCAAAUACUGAAACCCCCACCAGGUGGAAGAAGUUAACUGUAUGCUGAACACAAGCACAUAGACCCCAGACCGGUUGGAACCAGAAGGUUGAUGAUGUUGACUCCCAAUUACCUCACCAUCAACCAAUCAGAAGAAUGUCCACAAUUGAUCACGCACCCCGCAACCCCCCUCCUUCACCCUGUCUUUAAAAACCUUUCCCUGAAAGCCAUCGGGGAGUUUGGGUCUUUUGAGCAUUAGCUACCUGGAUACCUUGCUUGGUGCCCUGUAAUAAAUGCUGCAUUUUUCCUUCAUUGCAAUCUGGUGUGAUAGAUUGGCUUCACUGCGUUCCGGCCAGCAGAUCCAAGUUUGGUUUGGUAACAUAUACAUUAUAUAUACAUACACACAUACACACUUUUUUUUGCGGUACGCGGGCCUCUCCCUGUUGUGGCCUCUCCCGUUGCGGAGCAACAGGCUCCGGACGCGCAGACUCAGCGGCCAUGGCUCACGGGCGCAGCCGCUCCGCGGCGUGUGGGAUCUUCCCAGAUCGGGGCACGAACCCGUGUCCCCUGCAUCGGCAGGCGGACUCUCAACCACUGCGCCACCAGGGAAGCCCCCACAUGUUUUAAUAAAUAUUUAUUUACAUUUAUAUAAAAUAGAAGCAGUCGGGAUAUAUAUAUAUUGGAAGCAAUCAGGAUAGAGAGGGAGAGAGAGAGAACCAACUCUCUAUACUUAAGGCCUUCUGCUUUCAGGCUGAACUAUGUGUUUAGUUUUGGGUUUGUUUUUUUUUACUAUAUUACUUUUUAAAAAAAAUUAUUUAUUUAUUUUUGGCUGCGCUGGGUCUUCGUUGCUGCGCGCGGGCUUUCUCUAGUUGCGGUGAGUGGGGGGCUACUCUUCCUUACGUGCAGGCUUCUCAUUGCAGUGGCUUCUCUUGUUGCAGAGCACAGGCUCUAGGUGCGCAGGCUUCAGUAGUUGUGGCACGUGGGCUCAGUAGUUGUGGCAUGCGGGCUCUAGAGCACAGGCUCAGUAGUUGUGGCACACGGGCUUAGUUGUUUCACGGCAUGUGGGAUCUUCCAGGACCAGGGCUCGAACCCGUGUACCCUGCGUUGGCAGGUGGAUUCUUAACCACUGUGCCACCAGGGAAGCCCUGUUUUUUGUUUUUUGUUUUUUUAAAAAAACCUGCCUCACCUCACCUGGACAGUAAUAAUGCUGCAGUGAACAUUGGGGAACAUAUAUCUUUUCUAAUUAGUAUUUUCUUUUUCUUCAGAUAAAUACCCUGCUAGAUCAUAUGGUAGUUCUAUUUUUAGUUUUUUGAGGAACCUCCAUACUGUUCUCCAUAGUGGCUGCACUAAUUUACAUUCCCACCAACAGUGCAUGAGGGUUCCCUUUUCUCCACAUCCUCUUCUGCAUAACCUUGUUAAGAUUACAUAUACUGAUUAAUGAAACCGAGGUCUAAAUGUACAGGCAGCCCCUCACAUCAUGUUUAUGGUUUCACAGUUUACUUUGGCAAAAACAGUUUAGCAGAUAGCUGGAAUUGUAUUCUAAGGAGUCACAAGGAAAUUUGCGUGGAGUCAUGGAUUUUCCAAUGGUGGACGAGUCCUCAGAGAUUUCUCAAAGACUCUCAGGUUAUAAUCUUCAAUUUGACUGGAAUAAAAUUUUCCAUUUCUUUCUUAGUACACCUCCCUUUCUUCCUCCUCUGUAACUCCUAGAAUUUCGGAGUCGUGAAAGAAACCUUAGCAUCAAGGUCGGAAGUCUUGCUUUACAGAUAGCAAAACAGAAAAGCAGAGUGUUGUUAUCUCUACUGUCUUACCUGCGUGAGCUUCGUGGAAACUCCCAUCAUUCGUCAUCUGUACAGUUUAGUCAGUGUUUGGACUCUGAUUUCUCUCAAUGCUAAGCUGAAUCUGAGAGCAAGAGCGACACCUUGACGAGAAGAGGAGGUGAUAACAGGUUUCCCGUGUGACGAAUACAGAGGACAACUCCUGGAUGCUUGGUGUGUGAUGGUUUUUAAAUCAAUUCGACACAUGUGUGAACAUAAGGGCAUUAGGGAGACAAGAGAAAGGAGACCCACUUUGACAGCAGGUGCUGCCAGUACACUGGAAGAGCAUUCUUGGGUGAAUCACUUAAAUGCGUGAUGUUAAAGAAAGGGAUGUACAAUUCUCGGCAAGUGCCUCCUCCUGCCUCACCUCACCUGGAGAGUAAUAAUGCUGCAGUGAACAUUGGGGAACAUAUAUCUUUUCUAAUUAGUGUUUUCUUUUUCUUCAGAUAAAUACCCCGCUAGAUCAUAUGGUAGUUCUAUUUUUAGUUUUUUUGAGGAACCUCCAUACUGUUCUCCAUAGUGCCUGCACUAAUUUACAUUCCCACCAACAGUGCAUGAGGGUUCCCUUUUCUCCACAUCCUCGCCAACACUUGUCUCUUGUCUUUUUGAUAACAGCCAUUCUAGCAGGCGUGAGGUGGUAUCUCACUGUGGUCUUGAUUUGCAUUUCCAUGGAGAUUCCCGAUGUUGAGCAUCUUUUCAUGUGUCUGUUGGACAUCUGUAUGUCGUCUUUGGAAAAAUGUCUAUUCAGGUCCUCUGCCCACUUUCUAAUCAGGUUUUUUUGAUUUUUUGAUUUGAUGUAUAUGAGUUCUUUGUAUAUUUUGGAUAUUAACCCCUUAUCAGGUAUAUCAUUUGCAAAUAUCUUCUCCCAUUCUAUUGAUUUAAUUUCAGCACUAGUUUUAACUUUCAGGAGGUUUUGUCCUCUGUUACUCUUUCAUAACAUUCUGUUACUGUUUUAAGGGUGCAGUUUUCUCACUCCGUGUGUGUCUAUGUGCAUGUGUGUGCGCAUAUGCAUGCAUGUUCUCUCCUGUUCCCUGAAUUGUUGUUUUCAGUCUUUAUAUUGGAAGCUUCUUCAACUGUCUGGGGGAAUCUUGACUGUGCAUAUUUAAGAAUGAGCUAGCUAUGAGCUCUCUGUACUUCGGUGAGAUGUGUCAUUGGGCCAAGAUGAUGGGACAGGAAUGCUGACAUUCUGAAUGGAAGAAGGCAGGGUAUUUUCUAUGGAGCCAUCAAAUUUAUUUAGUGAAUAAUGUUUCAUUGUUACCAUUAACAAUGGUAAAAUCUGAGAGGUAAUAUCCAAAAUUAUAUGUUUUUAUUUCUUUAGACAUCUCUGUAUUUUCUGAAUUUUUAACAAUUAGUGUGUUUUUAAUAACCAGAAUAUAUAUAAAUCUAUUUUUGAAGUGA